rnacentral:misc_RNA from 1 species
UCCGGCUUGUCGCCGGCGGUCCCUUUAGAGUGCCCAACUAAAUGAUGGCAACUAAAGGCGAGGGUUGCGCUCGUUGCGGGACUUAACCCAACAUCUCACGACACGAGCUGACGACAGCCAUGCACCACCUGUGAUCCUGCCCACAAGGGGAAGCCGUGUUUUCACGGCGGUCAGGAACAUGUCAAACCCAGGUAAGGUUCUUCGCGUUGCGUCGAAUUAAACCACAUGCUCCGCUGCUUGUGCGGGUCCCCGUCAAUUCCUUUGAGUUUUAGCCUUGCGGCCGUACUCCCCAGGCGGUGUGCUUAAAGCGUUAGCUGCGACACCGAAGAGCUAGGCUCCCCAACGUCCAGCACACAUCGUUUACAGCGUGGACUAC